rnacentral:lncRNA from 1 species
UCUGAAUCAGUAGCUGCGUCCGAAUUGCCAAGUAGUAGUCGAAGUAGAAGUCGAAGUAGUAUCUAGCAUGUCCGAAUUGGCCACCGGAGCGAGUAGCAUGCUACUUCAGAUACUACUUCAGAUACUAGACACGCCCACAUUGUAGGUUGGUCUCGGUGCAUCCUACGGGCAUGCUACUGACCCAAAAUGCACCACGGGCUUCUUCUUCGUCCUCUUAAAAGUUGUAGAAGCGCAUGUGAUGCUAGCGCCACCAGCUGCUCUGCCUAUUUAAAUGUAUCGCGAACGCCGGCUGGCCACAACAGCGCGCACCAUGUCGCGGGACCGCAGCAGUACAGAUGUAAGUUUCAUGUAACUUCACACACUGUCCUAAAAAAUGUGCGGUUGUAUCUCUUUGUCAUGUCAUGGUGUCAUAUUUGCCCAAGUAAUCAUUUUAUGAGCAAAUAUGUGGCGACAUCAUGGAGGUAAAGCUCACUUAUUCCAUCAUUAAACUGCACAGCUGCAGUACUACAGCCAGGCCCGCAGAUGAGGGGCUUCAGUUACCACUGUCUGCACGGGCGCAGUACCUACUCUCUGCCUGCGGGGGUCGUCUUUCCCCACCGCUCGUCUAGUGUGUCCGAAUUGGGCCAACGUGUUUAGUAUGUAGGAGUAGGAUCUAGCAGUAGCACGUAGCAGUAGCAUGUAGUAUCCGAGCGGGCAGUUCGGACGCAGCAAGUCUUUCAGGGAACAGAGGACUGUCUGCACAUGCAGCUCUUCACCAGCAGGUGGCGCUACAGGCCUGAAGAAAAGUAUGUGAUGAUCCUGAAGUUAGGAGCAGAACAGACUGUAAAAACAGGUGAGAGUCUGAUCUGCUGAAAACUGAAGGAUUUAUAAAGAGACUCAGAGUUCAGGUCAGCUGUGAGGAGGAACAUCAGAUACUAACAGACCUUCAUCCUGCUGCUUCCAUCCAUUUAAGUUCUGACUUCUUUACAUUUAUAUUAUAUUUAUAUUCUUUAAUAAAAGAUCCUAGACUGUCUUCUGUUGAACAUUUUCUUUUGUUGUUACUUUAAUGUUAUGUUUUUACACAGGUAUGUCAGAGAGGAGCCGUUCCUUUGAAGUACAGGCGAUAAUCUUCACAGUGUCCUCCUGUCAGAAACAUGUUUAUUGUUUUGGACACGUCCCUGUCCUCUGAUCAGAGAGGUCAGAGGUUAUAAAAAAGGUCAGAAGUGACUCAGCAGUUUUCACGAUUCUUUAACUGUUAAUGACUUUAUUGGCAGCUAUAAAAAGUUAACGUUCUCUUUUACCUCUUUUAUCUUUUCUCUUAUUUUGACUUACUCUCCUUUUAGCCUUUAUUUACCUUUAUUUUACUCUUUUCUUAUUUAACCUUUUAGGUCUUUUAUUGAUUUUAUUGUUUUGACCAUCCUGUUUCCUGAUUUCUACCCCCUCUUUUCUAUUACAUUUCUUCUUCUUUUACCUAUUUUAUCUUUUUAUUUCGGUCUCAGUUUAUGUUGUCGGUUCUUGUCUGGGUUCCUUAUGAAAAAUGAAAUUGGCCUUUAAUUCAGAGGUUUUUAACCGAGCUUUUGUUUUUAUUUUCAUGUGCUGAUGGUCUGAACUUUAGGACUACAUGUCAAAGAACUUUGUAAACUUCUGUUUUUAAUUGUGAUAUAAAAAUAAAGUUAUUAUUAUUAUUAUUAUUAUUAUUAUUAUUAUUAUUAUUAUUAUUAUGUGUGCUGAUUAUGUGCACACUGUGAAAGCUCACAUGUGUUUUCUGGACUCUUUACUGAACAUCUGUAUUUAUAUUUAUAUCUAUAACAUCUAUGAUAGAAAACAAACAUUUGUGGUUUAGUUGGUUGUUCUGAAUUUUCCUCCUCUAAAGAAGAUCAUGAGUAUUUUAUCACUUCUUCAACAGACUGACCCGGUUCUGACAGAAGAGGAAGACCUGAGGAGGAGGAGUUUGUUUUUUCCUGAUGUUCUUGAACGCAGCUUUGAACUGUUGGAGCUACAGCAGCUGAUUUAGGA